AUUGAACGCUGGCGGCAGGCCUAACACAUGCAAGUCGAACGGUAACAGGAAGCAGCUUGCUGCUUCGCUGACGAGUGGCGGACGGGUGAGUAAUGUCUGGGAAGCUGCCUGAUGGAGGGGGAUAACUACUGGAAACGGUAGCUAAUACCGCAUAAUGUCGCAAGACCAAAGAGGGGGACCUUCGGGCCUCUUGCCAUCGGAUGUGCCCAGAUGGGAUGAGCUUGUUGGUGGGGUAACGGCUCACCAAGGCGACGAUCCCUAGCUGGUCUGAGAGGAUGACCAGCCACACUGGGACUGAGACACGGUCCAGACUCCUACGGGAGGCAGCAGUGGGGAAUAUUGCACAAUGGGCGCAAGCCUGAUGCAGCCAUGCCGCGUGUAUGAAGAAGGCCUUCGGGUUGUAAAGUACUUUCAGCGGGGAGGAAGGGAGUAAAGUUAAUACCUUUGCUCAUUGACGUUACCCGCAGAAGAAGCACCGGCUAACUCCGUG
rnacentral:rRNA from 1 species